rnacentral:rRNA from 1 species
UACAGAGGGGGCAAGCGUUGUUCGGAAUUACUGGGCGUAAAGGACGCGUAGGCGGCCUUCUAAGUCGAACGUGAAAUCCCCGGGCUCAACCCGGGAACUGCGUCCGAUACUGGAAGGCUUGAAUCCGGGAGAGGGAUGCGGAAUUCCAGGUGUAGCGGUGAAAUGCGUAGAUAUCUGGAGGAACACCGGUGGCGAAGGCGGCAUCCUGGACCGGCAUUGACGCUGAUGAGCGAAAGCUAGGGGAGCAAACGGG